AGUUUUUGUAUUUUUAGUAGAGACAGGGCUUGACUAUGUUGGUGAGGCUGGUCUUGAACUCCUGACCUCAUGAUCCGCCUGCCUCGGCCUCCCAAAGUGCUGGGAUUACAGGCAUGAGCCACUGUGCCUGGCUGAAAAUGUCUAUUUUUAAGUAAGUCUGCUUUUACUUUCUUGGAAUCCUCCAAGAAAAACGUUAUAAUCUUAGCCUAAUUUUACCAAAUGAAUAUUAUUCAAAUUUUUCAAUAUCUGUUAAAUUAUAUUCAGCUUGUUGCUGAAUAUAAGCCAAUUAAAAGUUAGUAUAUACCUGCCAGAGGAGAUUAUUUAGAUUCUAAACCUGACUGAGGGCUAGACCUCAAGUAAACAAUAUGCAUGGCCAACAGUGUAUCAUAAAGAAAAGAAAUGAUCAUGAUUGAACUGUUUAAUAACAUAAAACAAUAAAAUGUAAUUUUAAGUUCUGUAAACAAGUAGACCAAUCAUCUCCACUGGAUUAUGCCAGGGCACCUUGUGACCCAUAAAAUAUUCAGAUAGCAUAUUAUAUCUCAAAUGCACAUAAUUUAGCUCAAAAUGAAAUAAUAUAAUAUAUAUAAAGCAUUCAAGUGACAAUAACUUUGCUUAUCCUCUUAUAACAGAGAAGAGUUAUUUAGGGGAUGAUUUGAGUAAGUCAGUUCACUUAAGAAGCCAUUCUAAGAUAUCUGACUAGAUGCCUUUUCCGUUGAAUGCAUUUCCUUUAAUAAGUGCAAGAAUUCAAAAGCAUUCCAUUGAACCAAGAGCUGCUUCAGAGCUCAGAAGUGAGUGGUCAAUACCCAUUUGUUGCUACAGCUGCCAGUGAUGGUGAUGAGUGUAUGUUUCUUUCUUGAGACAGGGUCUCACUUUGUCACCCAGGCUGGGGUGCAGUGGAGUGAUCUCGGCUCACCGCAACCUCUGCCUCCCAGGCUUAAGCGAUCCUCUCGCCUCAGACUCCUGAGUAGCUGGGACUACAGGUGUGCACCACCACGCCCAGCUAAUUUUUGUAUUUUUUGUAGAGAGGGGGUUUCACCAUGUUGCCCAGGCUCAUCUCGAACUCCUGAUCUCAAGCAAUCCCGUCUCCGUCUCCCAAAGUGCUGGGAUUACAGCAGGGAGCCACCGUGCCCAGCUGAGUAUAUGUUUUUAACCCUCUGAAAGACAUUUUGUUUUUUUGAGACGGGAAUCUCACUCUGUUGCCUAGGGUGGUGUGCAGUGGCAUGAACAUGGCUCACUGCAGCUUCAACUUCCUGAGUUCAAGUGAUCCUCCUGUCUCAGCUUUGCAAAUAGCUGGGACCACAGGUGUGUGUCACCAUGCCCAGCUAAUUUAAAACAAAUUUUUUUUUGCAGAGACGGGAUCUUGCUUUGUUCCCCAGGCUGGUCUUGUAUUCUUGGGCUCAAGCAAUCCUCCUGCCUCGGCCUCUCAAAGUGCUGGGAUUGCAGGUGUAAGCCCUGGUGCCUCGUCCUUCAAGACAAAUAUGUCUUUAAACUAAGAGCUUAACAGAGGUCCCCCAACUUUCUCUGUUCACAGCAAUCUUAGUGUUUCAGUAACUUUUAUGCCAAAAUAAAUAUCCAACUCCUCUUUAGUUAGUUAGGUUCAAACAACUUAUGAAGCAUUUCUGCCCUUAGUAGCUUGUCAUAUUAUUUUGGAGAAAAGAAGCCACAUAAAUUGAGAAAUUUUUUUUUUUUUUUUUUUUUGAGACGGGCUCACUCUGUUGCUCAGGCUAAAGUGCAGUGGUGUGAUCUCAGCUCACUGUAACCUCCACCUCCCAGGUUCAAUCGAUUCUCCUGCCUCAGCCUCCCAAGUAGCUGGGGCUAGAGGCACAUGCCUCACCACACCCAGCUAAUUUUUGUAUUUUUUGGUAGAGACGGGGUUUCACUGUGCCAGGCUGGUCUUGAACUCCUGGCCUCAAGUGAUCCACCCGCCUCCCAAAGUGUGGGGAUUACAGGCAUGAGCCACCGCGUCCGGCCUAAUUUCAUUUUUGAUUACAACGAAUGACUUACUAAUGGGGUGUGUGUGCCUGUUAGGCACUGCACAGCUUUUUGUACCUUGGAAUCCGAACGGACGCCACCACCCUCAUCUCCUGUUCAAGUUGAUUUUCUCUGGGUUCUUGCUUCUUAUCACCCAAACCUCCGCAAGCUCAGCUUCCCAGAUAUUUCAUCAAAGAGAAUGCAGCACAGCCUAAUUUGAAACUUAACAAUCUUAGCUAAUAGUUAAGCAUUAAUAGGACAGAUGUUCAGUGCCACUGUAUUUUCUUUGAAAAUUAAAAAAAUCCUGCGGCCUCCCUGUGAGUUUGUGGAAGUGCCCUGGGAACGAAACAUCUUCACCAAAUCCCCGAUUCUCACCCGGCUCCACCCCUCAGUUUAUUUAAAGCUACAGCUGAAGCUGCUUGGUUACAGAUCAAAUAAAAUCACCAAAGAGAAUUGCUAAGCCUGAUUAUGUCUUCACUUUGAGGACCAUUUUAACAGUGUGUUUUGAAAGCUGUGCAACAAUUACCAGGUCACUAGCAAGAAGUUCUAAAAAUAAACUUGACAAUACAGGCUUAAAGUACUGUCCCACAGGUAUAGGACAGUAUUGUAGCUAGCAGGGCUGGUGAUCAGAUUGCACCUUAGCUUGUUCUUUCUGGCUGUGAUGUGGAGGGUAAGUCAGGAAGGGAGGCCCGUGCUGCAGUCCUGAGAUGGUUACAGGACCUGAGGUGGGGCCCGUGGGGAUGGCGAGGACCCGAACAAGAUGUUUAUGAAGUGAGGUCAACGGGCUAGGGUCUACUGGGCUGUGGGGCAGUAGGGCAAGGAGAAUGGAGACAGCCCAUGCCCACCUGGGUGGAUGUAUCCAGCCACCCCUCUCACCCGUGACUGGGAGUGAAGGAAAGCAAGGACACUUGACCUCUUUGCCCGACUUCUUCCUCAUUUCUCUUCUCCAUCCUACUCUAGGCUGCAAGGGGAGGGCUUUCACCUCCUCCUAUAACGCAGGGAUUUCCCUCACGUUGUAGCCUGAGUUCUCUGUAUUCAACAGGUAAUCAAGUAUGGUACCCCUGGUUCUUGCCAUGUUGAUGUCAGUUUAAGAGAUUUAAAAACUCUUUUCUUUCUGAGUAAAGCCUGGCUUUCCAGAAGAAAAUCUGGAAACUCAAAAAUCCUGUUUUGUGCUGGAGACUCAAAAAUCCUGUUUUGGAAGUCAAUUGCUGAAUGUUGACUUCUUUCAUUUGUUUAUUAAAAAAAAAAAUACAGACAGGGUCUUGCUAUGUUGCCCAGGCUGGUUUCGAACUCCUGGCCUCAAGUGAUCCUCCCCCUUGGCCUCCCAAAGUGUUGGGAUUAUAGUUGUGAGCCACCCAUGCCUGGCCUUGACUUCUUUCAGUUUCUAUACCCCCUCACUCCAGACUGAUGCUGUCAUUGCACUGUCUUGUUUUCUUCAGAACACUGAUCACUAUCGAAAUUAUUUAUUUGCCUUCUGUCUCCUCCCAUUAAAAUCUAAUGGGAGAUUGGCUGGGCAUGGUGGCUCACGCCUGUAAUCCCAGCACUUUGG
rnacentral:lncRNA from 1 species